rnacentral:rRNA from 1 species
GACGAACGCUGGCGGCGUGCUUAACACAUGCAAGUCGAACGGAAAGGCCCUGCUUUUGUGGGGUGCUCGAGUGGCGAACGGGUGAGUAACACGUGAGUAACCUGCCCUUGACUUUGGGAUAACUUCAGGAAACUGGGGCUAAUACCGGAUAGGAGCUCCUGCUGCAUGGUGGGGGUUGGAAAGUUUCGGCGGUUGGGGAUGGACUCGCGGCUUAUGAGCUUGUUUGUGGGGUAGUUGCUUACCAAGGCUUUGACGGGUAGCCGGCCUGAGAGGGUGACCGGCCACAUUGGGACUGAGAUACGGCCCAGACUCCUACGGGAGGCAGCAGUGGGGAGUAUUGCACAAUGGGCGGAAGCCUGAUGCAGCAGCGCCGCGUGCGGGAUGACGGCCUUCGGGUUGUAAACCGCUUUCGCCUGUGACGAAGCGUGAGUGACGGUAAUGGGUAAAGAAGCACCGGCUAACUACGUG